rnacentral:rRNA from 1 species
AACGAACGCUGGCGGCAGGCUUAACACAUGCAAGUCGAACGCAUCCUUCGGGGUGAGUGGCAGACGGGUGAGUAACGCGUGGGAACGUGCCCUUCAGUUCGGGAUAACCCAGGGAAACUUGGGCUAAUACCGGAUACGUGCGAGAGCAGAAAGAUUUAUCGCUGAAGGAUCGGCCCGCGUCUGAGUAGCUAGUUGGUGGGGUAAUGGCCCACCAAGGCGACGAUCAGUAGCUGGUCUGAGAGGAUCCUCAGCCACAUUGGGACUGAGACACGGCCCAAACUCCUACGGGAGGCAGCAGUGGGGAAUAUUGGACAAUGGGCGCAAGCCUGAUCCAGCCAUGCCGCGUGAGUGAUGAAGGCCUUAGGGUUGUAAAGCUCUUUCGUCCGGGACGAUAAUGACGGUACCGGAAGAAGAAGCCCCGGCUAACUUCGUGCCAGCAGCCGCAGUAA